UACGGAGGAUUCGAGCGUUAUCCGGAUUUAUUGGGUUUAAAGGGUGCGCAGGCGGGUUGAUAAGUCAGUGGUGAAAGGUUUACGCUUAACGUAGACAUUGCCAUUGAAACUGUCGAUCUUGAGUACAAAUGAGGUAGGCGGAAUGUGUUGUGUAGCGGUGAAAUGCAUAGAUAUGACACAGAACACCGAUUGCGAAGGCAGCUUACUGGGAUGUAACUGACGCUCAGGCACGAAAGCGUGGGGAUCAAACAGG
rnacentral:rRNA from 1 species